UACACCCCUCAAGCGUAGCUUGGUAUUGGGCAUUCGCGGGCCCCUUUGUAGGCUCGCGGGUCCGAAAAGUAGUGGCGGUCCCCGAGGAUUUCGCGCGUAGUAAAUAUUAUCCCGCGUUGGAAAGAAUCGGUGGGCUUGCCAAAACCCCCAUAAUCUCCAUGAUUGACCUCGGAUCAGGUAGGGAUACCCGCUGAACUUAA
rnacentral:misc_RNA from 1 species